GGAGGCGAACCCGGCGAACUGAAACAUCUAAGUAGCCGGAGGAAAGGACAUCAACCGAGACUCCGCUAGUAGUGGCGAGCGAACGCGGACCAGGCCAGUCAUUCAGUCUACAUAACCGGAACCGUCUGGAAAGGCGGGCCAGAGCGGGUGAUAGCCCCGUACGGGUAAACCGGACUGAAUGCUCGAGUAGGGCGGGGCACGUGAAACCCUGUCCGAACAUGGGGGGACCACCCUCCAAGCCUAAGUACUCCUCAGUGACCGAUAGUGCACCAGUACCGUGAGGGAAAGGUGAAAAGCACCCCGACGAGGGGAGUGAAACAGUUCCUGAAACCGGAUGCCUACAAGCAGUCGGAGCCCCCUUGCGGGGUGACGGCGUACCUUUUGUAUAAUGGGUCAGCGACUUACAGUAAGCAGCGAGCUUAAGGCGAUAGCCGGAGGCGCAGCGAAAGCGAGUCUGAAGAGGGCGCUUGAGUUGCUUGCUGUAGACCCGAAACCCGGUGAUCUAGCCAUGGGCAGGUUGAAGGUGCGGUAACACGCACUGGAGGACCGAACUCACGCCUGUUGAAAAAGUCGGAGAUGACCUGUGGCUAGGGGUGAAAGGCCAAUCAAACCGGGAAAUAGCUGGUUCUCCGCGAAAGCUAUUUAGGUAGCGCGUCGGGCGAUUGCCCACGGGGGUAGAGCACUGGAUGGGCUAGGGGGCCUCGCGGCUUACCAAACCUAACCAAACUCCGAAUACCGUGGAGCACAGCCCGGCAGACAGACGGUGGGUGCUAAGGUCCAUCGUCGAGAGGGAAACAGCCCAGACCGCCAGCUAAGGUCCCCAAAUCACGGCUAAGUGGGAAAGGAUGUGGGAAGGCCAUGACAACCAGGAGGUUGGCUUAGAAGCAGCCAUCCUUUAAAGAAAGCGUAAUAGCUCACUGGUCUAGUUAAGCCGGCCUGCGCCGAAAAUGUAUCGGGGCUCAAGCCGUGUACCGAAGCUGCGGAUGUGAUCUUUGAUCACGUGGUAGCGGAGCGUUCCGUAAGCCUGCGAAGGGUGUCCGUGAGGCCGCCUGGAGGUAUCGGAAGUGAGAAUGCUGACAUGAGUAGCGACAAACAGUGUGAGAAACACUGUCGCCGAAAGUCCAAGGGUUCCUGCGCAAGGUUAAUCCACGCAGGGUGAGCCGGCCCCUAAGGCGAGGCCGAAAGGCGUAGUCGAUGGGAACCACGUUAAUAUUCGUGGGCCAGCGGGUGUGUGACGAAUGGGAAAGCGUGUCGGGCCUUAUCGGAUUGGCCCGGCUGGGGACCCGUUCCAGGAAACAGCCCCCGCAUCAGACCGUACCCCAAACCGACACAGGUGGACUGGUAGAGUAUACCCAGGCGCUUGAGAGAAUGGUGUUGAAGGAACUCGGCAAAUUGCCCUCGUAACUUCGGAAGAAGAGGGCCCCGUUGUGGCGCAAGCCAUGGCGGGGGGCACAGACCAGGGGGUGGCGACUGUUUACUAAAAACACAGGGCUCUGCGAAGCCGUACAAGGCGACGUAUAGGGUCUGACGCCUGCCCGGUGCCGGAAGGUUAAGAGGAGGGGUUCACGCUCCGAAUUGAAGCCCCGGUAAACGGCGGCCGUAACUAUAACGGUCCUAAGGUAGCGAAAUUCCUUGUCGGGUAAGUUCCGACCUGCACGAAUGGCGUAACGACUUCCCCGCUGUCUCCAACACCAACUCAGCGAAAUUGAACUCUCCGUGAAGAUGCGGAGUACCCGCGGUCAGACGGAAAGACCCCGUGCACCUUUACUACAGCUUUGCAGUGGUGCUAGGGAUCUCAUGUGUAGGAUAGGUGGGAGGCUAGGAAACCCGGGCGCCAGCUCGGGUGGAGCCA
rnacentral:rRNA from 1 species